AAUCAACGCUGGCGGCGUGCCUCAGACAUGCAAGUCGAACGCUGCUGUUCGCCUUCGGGUGGACAGCGGAGUGGCGCACGGGUGAGUAACACGUAGGUAAUCUACCUUUGGGUGGGGAAUAACAGCCGGAAACGGCUGCUAAUACCGCAUAAUGCAGCGGCAUCACAUGAUGACAGUUGUUAAAGCGAGGGAUCGUAAGACCUCGCGCCUGAAGAGGAGCCUGCGGCAGAUUAGGUAGUUGGUGAGGUAAUGGCUCACCAAGCCUGCGAUCUGUAACCGGCCUGAGAGGGCGGUCGGUCACACUGACACUGACAUACGGGUCAGACUCCUACGGGAGGCAGC
rnacentral:rRNA from 1 species